rnacentral:rRNA from 1 species
GUAGUCUCGCACAGAUGCAUAUCAAUAAGCGGAGGAAAAGAAACUAACAAGGAUUCCCCUAGUAACGGCGAGUGAAGCGGGAAGAGCUCAAAUUUGAAAUCUUAAAGGGUUUCCCUUUACGAAUUGUAGUUUAAAGAAGUGUUUUCUGUUGAGGUUUUGGUAAAAGUUCUUUGGAAUAGGACAUCAUAGAGGGUGAGAAUCCCGUAUUUGACCUUUACUUUCAACUUUGUGAUACACUUUCAAAGAGUCGGAUUGUUUGGGAAUGCAGUCCAAAAUGGGUGGUAAAUUUCAUCUAAAGCUAAAUAUUGGCGAGAGACCGAUAGCGAACAAGUACCGUGAGGGAAAGAUGAAAAGAACUUUGAAAAGAGAGUUAAACAGUACGUGAAAUUGUCAAAAGGGAAGCGUUUGACACCAGUGUUGUUUUUCUGAAAAUCAAUUAAAGAACUGUUUAUGCUAAGCUUGUUUAGACUUUAUCAGCUAACUGUUUAGUUUUGAGCUUUUCUUUAAUGCACUUUUCAGUUAACAAGUCAACAUCAAUUUCUUUUGCUGUAAAAAAGCUUGAGGAAGGUGGCUUGAGAUUCGUCUUAAGUGUUUAUAGCCUCUUGCCUAUGCAGUCGGAGAGAUUGAGGUCUGCAGCGUAGAUCCUUCGGGGCUAAAUGCAUUUGUGCUAAGUUAUAGCAUUUUAUAGACAACUUGUUGACUAUGAUUUGUCUUGUAGCUUACUCGCUUAUGUUAUUUUACCUACGCUUAGGAUGUUGACGCAUGAGAUAUACGC